AGCACCAACCCAACAGCAAAAACUAAAAAUCUAUUCAAGUCAGGUCAGGUGACGAGCCCUUGUGACAGAUCUUAUUCCUUAAAAAUAUUAUAAAAAUCCCCAAAAAACAUUAAACAUGUCGAUGCACACAUUAGCCAACAAGGGAAAAUUGAUCAGCGUCAUCGGAGAUGAGGACACCUGCGUCGGCUUCCUGCUGGGCGGAAUUGGUGAAAUCAACAAGAACAGACACCCCAACUUCAUGGUUGUUGACAAAAACACAGCAGUCAGUGAAAUCGAGGAGUGCUUCAAGCGCUUCGUGAAACGGGAUGACAUCGACAUCAUUCUGAUCAAUCAGAACAUUGCUGAGCUGAUCCGGCACGUGAUCGACGCCCACACCGCGCCCGUGCCCGCUGUGCUCGAGAUCCCCUCGAAAGACCAUCCUUACGAUGCUAGCAAGGACUCCAUCCUGCGUCGUGCUAGGGGCAUGUUCAACCCCGAAGACUUGGUACGCUAAAACUAAUUUAUUGCAUGGUAUUGUUGUCUGCGCAUCAGACGGCACGUGUAUAUACGCCAGCUGUUUACCAACAUUACGAACUAACUACUAAUGUCACCAGCCAUCUACAUAAAGCGUGUUCACUGCGUUUGAUGCUCAACAUGUUGAUCAAUUUAAUUAUAUCAAUAGAUUGAUCACAAAAUCGAUAUAUAAGAAAAAAAUAGUAUGUCAAAGUCUCAUCCAGCAAAAUAACAACGUAAUUACAAUUUUCAAGAAUAAUUUUAAGUUCGGAAUUGUCUAACCAAAACUAUACAUCUAUGGUUAUUCAGUCCGUCGUCUUACAUCUACUGGAUUUAACUAUAAAGUUUUAUAGUUGGUACAGAAGAACGUUUUGAUGUACAAAAUGUUAAUUCGGUUUCUUGCUAUAUAAGUAGCCAUUCUGGUAAAGCGACAUCUAUGAGGCUUGACAAGAACUAUUUAUAAAUUCGCGCCAUUUUUCAACAAGUUGAACAUCAACAGUGUUACACGGCUUGACAGUUUUCAGUGUGCAAUUUUUUCAACUAAAGCAGUUCACUAAUACAUUCCACUUCCCAUAAACAUUUAUUUUAACUGUUACAGCGAAUGUUCCCGUUAUUUAAUGUGAUAAAAAUUAUUCAAAUAUGUAAGGUUGGAAGUCCAAUAAAGUGGCUCGCACCAUCUUGAAAUUUCGAUGUGUUAAAAUUAUUUAAUUAAAUGUAGGCACAAAAUAUAUCUAUUAUUACAUAUUAUAUAUUCAAUGCGACUUUAAUGUGUUUCCAGCCUAAAUUACAGAGUAUUAAUUAAUCAUUGUAUAGAUUUGUUGAACUUGUAUUAUAGAAUAUAAAAAACCA